UGAGCACUGCGCUUUGAAAUCGGGAGAGCGUGAGACUAUUAAUCUCAAGGUUGUGGGUUCGACCCCCACGUCGGGCUCAA